UGCUGCCUACGGGACGCAGCAGUGGGGAAUAUUGGGCAAUGGGCGCAAGCCUGACCCAGCAACGCCGCGUGAAGGAAGAAGGCUUUCGGGUUGUAAACUUCUUUUCUCAGGGACGAAGCAAGUGACGGUACCUGAGGAAUAAGCCACGGCUAACUACGUGCCAGCAGCCGCGGUAAUACGUAGGGGGCAAGCGUUAUCCGGAUUUACUGGGUGUAAAGGGCGUGUAGGCGGGGACGCAAGUCAGAUGUGAAA
rnacentral:rRNA from 1 species